AAGUUUGUUGUUUUGGUGGCGGUGGGUAUCUCACACUAGGUGGCGGUGGUGACUUAGGGCUUGGUCCAUUAGGCGGUGGCGGCUUUACAAUCGGUGGUGGUGGUGACUUGACAACCGGUGGAGGAGGUGGUGGUGACUUUGCAACUGGAGGAGGAGGUGGAGGGGCCGACUUCACGACCGGAGGUGGUGGUGGUGGCGAUUUCACAAACGGAGGAGGAGGUGGUGGCGUUUUAGGGCUCGGUGAAGAAGGCGGUGGGGGACAGUUUGGUGUCUUAGAAGCAGGGGGAGGAGGAGGGUUAUUUGAGCAGUCACAAGCUAGAGAUGUAAGCAAAGUGCCCAAGUUCAAGAGUAGAAUAAAGGAACUUGCUAAUUGAUAUUUUCCC
rnacentral:lncRNA from 1 species